CUCUCGUUGUGCAUCUCUUCCCUCUUUUUGAAGUUUGCUAUGAAAACCCACGAGAUUGAGCUGAGAAAAGAAAACAAAGAAACAAAAAAAACUCUCCCAAAACCUGUCUCUCUCGUCCUCCCUCUCAAUCCAUCAUAGCAAACAUCGAAAUUCCCCUACUCGUGUAAUCGUCGGAUCUUCCACCUUCGAAUUUCCGACGGCGUUUCCCUACACAAACCUCACGCUCUCUCUCUCUCUACCCUCUCCCUCGCCCUCUCCGACUUCUCUCCUGUCGACAACGUCUUCGACUACGGCUCCAACUUGGACUCCACCUUCGACGAUGGCGGCCACUUCAUUUUGGACUCGUCCAUUUCAGAUCGCUCAAUUUCACUCUGAAACCAAAACCCCAAUCCCGAUUCCCCCUAAUUUACCAAACCGCUAGGGUUUUCUAGCGGUCAUCCAGUAUGAGUUCCAGAUCCGCGAGCCGGGGACCCACAUGCUGGAGACUACAUCACCGGCUUGAGCUUGCUGGAUUUCAAUACCUUGGUAGACCAGUGAGUCCAGUGAGUUGACUCCCCCUCUCCCUCCUCCUCCAGUCCUCCCUUCCCAACCAAAAAGGUUGGAGCUAAAUCACGUAAUAUUUCUUAUAUAAAAGGAAAACUACCCUCUUGGGUUGGAAUUCCUACAUCAGUUGCCCUACCAUUUGGAGUAUUUGAAAAAUUUCUUUCUGAACAUUUAAAUAAGGUUGUCACCUCUAAACUUCAAUAAUCAUAUUCUGCACAUAUAUUACUCAUGCAACUGUCAUUUCUACUAGUACCUUAACCAGAAUAGUCUGAAGUUAUAUUAAUUUGUUUGGCUUUGUGUUUUUGGAAGUUAACCUGUCGUUUUCUAUACUAAUAUCUUAACCUGUCAUUUUAACUAGGAGAUGCAUAGAAAUUUAACUUCAGUAGUAAUUUAAUUGCUCCUUAACGUCACAGAGCCUGGUGCCAAGUGAGAAAAACUAAAAAUGCCUUACUCAAGUGCUUAUCUUUUUUGUACAUUUUCAUGCCCUUUCAAUACUUUUGUUAAGUAUCUCGCAUCUAAGUAGGUACAUCGAUGAGUGGGACCUCUUGAGGUUCAUGAUCGAGGAAGAAGUGGAGCUUGUGUGGCCACUAAUUGACAUAAAAAAGACUGGACAAGUCGAUAGGAAAACUCUAACAAAGUGGGUGGUAAGACAUUUAUCUUAUUAUGUCUCUUGACUUCCAGAAGUUGUAGUUCUUAUUUUGCUUAUGGAGGACUUUUGUUUUGUUUCUGUAGCAUGUAAUUUAUACAUUGAUCACAUCUUUCAAUCUAAAAGCAAAUAUAGCAGGGUAGUUAUUCAUGAAGGAAUUCCUACUUGUUAUGUAUGCACAUGCAGAAAUACUUAAAUUUGUACUUGAUGG